AGAAUCAACGCUGGCGGCGUGCCUAACACAUGCAAGUCGCACGAGAAAGGGACUUCGGUCCUGAGUACAGUGGCGCACGGGUGAGUAACACGUGACUAACCUACCCUUGAGUGGGGGAUAACCUAGAGAAAUCUGGGCUAAUACCGCAUAAUACCUUCGGGUCAAAGGAGCAAUUCGCUUAAGGAGGGGGUCGCGGCCGAUUAGUUAGUUGGCGGGGUAAUGGCCCACCAAGACUAUGAUCGGUA
rnacentral:rRNA from 1 species